rnacentral:rRNA from 1 species
AGAGUUUGAUCCUGGCUCAGGAUGAACGCUGACAGAAUGCUUAACACAUGCAAGUCGAUUCGAUUUACCUUCGGGUAUUGAGGAUGGCGGACGGGUGAGUAACGCGUAAGGAACUUGCCUCUUGGUCUGGGACAACUGUUGGAAACGACAGCUAAUACCGGAUAUUAUGAGAUUCUCGCAUGGGAAACUUAUGAAAGCUAUAUGCGCCAAGAGAGAGCCUUGCGUUCCAUUAGCUAGUUGGUGGGGUAACGGCCCACCAAGGCGACGAUGGAUAGCCGGCCUGAGAGGGUGAACGGCCACAAGGGGACUGAGACACGGCCCUUACUCCUACGGGAGGCAGCAGUGGGGAAUAUUGGACAAUGGGCCACAAGCCUGAUCCAGCAAUUCUGUGUGCACGAUGAAGGUCUUCGGAUUGUAAAGUGCUUUCAGUUGGGAAGAAGAAAGUGACGGUACCAACAGAAGAAGCGACGGCUAAAUACGUGCCAGCAGCCGCGGUAAUACGUAUGUCGCAAGCGUUAUCCGGAUUUAUUGGGCGUAAAGCGCGUCUAGGCGGAAAAAUAAGUCUGAUGUUAAAAUGCGGGGCUCAACUCCGUAUUGCGUUGGAAACUGUUUUUCUAGAGUACUGGAGAGGUGGGCGGAACUACAAGUGUAGAGGUGAAAUUCGUAGAUAUUUGUAGGAAUGCCGAUGGAGAAGUCAGCUCACUGGACAGAUACUGACGCUAAAGCGCGAAAGCGUGGGGAGCAAACAGGAUUAGAUACCCUGGUAGUCCACGCC